GUGGGGAAUAUUGGACAAUGGGGGAAACCCUGAUCCAGCGACGCCGCGUGAGUGAAGAAGGCCUUAGGGUUGUAAAGCUCUUUCGCCGGGGAAGAUGAUGACGGUACCCGGAGAAGAAGCCCCGGCUAACUCCGUGCCAGCAGCCGCGGUAAGACGGAGGGGGCUAGCGUUGUUCGGAAUGACUGGGCGUAAAGCGCGCGUAGGCGGUUUGGUAAGUUGGAUGUGAAAGCCCGGGGCUCAACCCCGGAUGUGCGUUCAAAACUGCCAGACUGGAGACCGGAAGGGGAGAGCGGAAUUCCCAGUGUAGAGGUGAAAUUCGUAGAUAUUGGGAAGAACACCGGUGGCGAAGGCGGCUCUCUGGUCCGGUUCUGACGCUGAGGCGCGAAAGCGUGGGGAGCAAACAGGAUUAGAUACCCGGGUAGUCC
rnacentral:rRNA from 1 species